rnacentral:rRNA from 1 species
UACGGAGGGGGCUAGCGUUGUUCGGAAUUACUGGGCGUAAAGCGCGCGUAGGCGGACCUGCAAGUCGGGGGUGAAAGCCCGAGGCUCAACCUCGGAACUGCCUUCGAUACUGCGGGUCUCGAGUCCGGGAGAGGUGAGUGGAAUUCCUAGUGUAGAGGUGAAAUUCGUAGAUAUUAGGAAGAACACCAGUGGCGAAGGCGGCCUUCUGGACGAUGACUGACGCUGAGACGCGAAAGCGUGGGGAGCAAACAGG